GGGUUGUGAGGUUAAGCGACUAAGCGUACACGGUGGAUGCCCUGGCAGUCAGAGGCGAUGAAGGGCGUGCUAAUCUGCGAUAAGCGCCGGUAAGGUGAUAUGAACCGUUAUAACCGGCGAUACCCGAAUGGGGAAACCCAGUGUGAUUCGUCACACUAUCAUUAACUGAAUCCAUAGGUUAAUGAGGCGAACCGGGGGAACUGAAACAUCUAAGUACCCCGAGGAAAAGAAAUCAACCGAGAUUCCCCCAGUAGCGGCGAGCGAACGGGGAGGAGCCCAGAGCCUGAAUCAGCAUAUGUGUUAGUGGAAGCGUCUGGAAAGGCGCGCGAUACAGGGUGACAGCCCCGUACACAAAAGCGCAUGUGCUGUGAGCUCGAUGAGUAGGGCGGGACACGUGGUAUCCUGUCUGAAUAUGGGGGGACCAUCCUCCAAGGCUAAAUACUCCUGACUGACCGAUAGUGAACCAGUACCGUGAGGGAAAGGCGAAAAGAACCCCGGCGAGGGGAGUGAAAAAGAACCUGAAACCGUGUACGUACAAGCAGUGGGAGCCCCACCACUAAGCCAGUGGUGAACUCCACAUACGCAUCCUUUGCUGAGGAUACGGUUAACGGAGCGCAAGCGACGUUCAACCUCAAAAGAAGCAGAGGGGGCUUAGUGGUGGGGUGACUGCGUACCUUUUGUAUAAUGGGUCAGCGACUUAUAUUCUGUAGCAAGGUUAACCGAAUAGGGGAGCCGGAGGGAAACCGAGUCUUAAUUGGGCGUUAAGUUGCAGGGUAUAGACCCGAAACCCGGUGAUCUAGCCAUGGGCAGGUUGAAGGUUGGGUAACACUAACUGGAGGACCGAACCGACUAAUGUUGAAAAAUUAGCGGAUGACCUGUGGCUGGGGGUGAAAGGCCAAUCAAACCGGGAGAUAGCUGGUUCUCCCCGAAAGCUAUUUAGGUAGCGCCUCGUGAAUUCAUCUCCGGGGGUAGAGCACUGUUUCGGCUAGGGGGCCAUCCCGGCUUACCAACCCGAUGCAAACUGCGAAUACCGGAGAAUGUUAUCACGGGAGACACACGGCGGGUGCUAACGUCCGUCGUGAAGAGGGAAACAACCCAGACCGCCAGCUAAGGUCCCAAAGUCAUGGUUAAGUGGGAAACGAUGUGGGAAGGCCCAGACAGCCAGGAUGUUGGCUUAGAAGCAGCCAUCAUUUAAAGAAAGCGUAAUAGCUCACUGGUCGAGUCGGCCUGCGCGGAAGAUGUAACGGGGCUAAACCAUGCACCGAAGCUGCGGCAGCGACACUCAGGUGUUGUUGGGUAGGGGAGCGUUCUGUAAGCCUGCGAAGGUGGCCUGUGAGGGUUGCUGGAGGUAUCAGAAGUGCGAAUGCUGACAUAAGUAACGAUAAAGCGGGUGAAAAGCCCGCUCGCCGGAAGACCAAGGGUUCCUGUCCAACGUUAAUCGGGGCAGGGUGAGUCGACCCCUAAGGCGAGGCCGAAAGGCGUAGUCGAUGGGAAACGGGUUAAUAUUCCCGUACUUGGUGUUACUGCGAAGGGGGGACGGAGAAGGCUAUGUUGGCCGGGCGACGGUUGUCCCGGUUUAAGCGUGUAGGUGUGUGUUCCAGGUAAAUCCGGUUCACUUUAACACUGAGGCGUGACGACGAGGCACUACGGUGCUGAAGCAACAAAUGCCCUGCUUCCAGGAAAAGCCUCUAAGCAUCAGGUAACAUCAAAUCGUACCCCAAACCGACACAGGUGGUCAGGUAGAGAAUACCAAGGCGCUUGAGAGAACUCGGGUGAAGGAACUAGGCAAAAUGGUGCCGUAACUUCGGGAGAAGGCACGCUGACAUGUAGGUGAAGUGAUUUACUCAUGGAGCUGAAGUCAGUCGAAGAUACCAGCUGGCUGCAACUGUUUAUUAAAAACACAGCACUGUGCAAACACGAAAGUGGACGUAUACGGUGUGACGCCUGCCCGGUGCCGGAAGGUUAAUUGAUGGGGUCAGCGCAAGCGAAGCUCCUGAUCGAAGCCCCGGUAAACGGCGGCCGUAACUAUAACGGUCCUAAGGUAGCGAAAUUCCUUGUCGGGUAAGUUCCGACCUGCACGAAUGGCGUAAUGAUGGCCAGGCUGUCUCCACCCGAGACUCAGUGAAAUUGAACUCGCUGUGAAGAUGCAGUGUACCCGCGGCAAGACGGAAAGACCCCGUGAACCUUUACUAUAGCUUGACACUGAACAUUGAGCCUUGAUGUGUAGGAUAGGUGGGAGGCUUUGAAGUGUGGACGCCAGUCUGCAUGGAGCCGACCUUGAAAUACCACCCUUUAAUGUUUGAUGUUCUAACGUGGACCCGUGAUCCGGGUUGCGGACAGUGUCUGGUGGGUAGUUUGACUGGGGCGGUCUCCUCCUAAAGAGUAACGGAGGAGCACGAAGGUUGGCUAAUCCUGGUCGGACAUCAGGAGGUUAGUGCAAUGGCAUAAGCCAGCUUGACUGCGAGCGUGACGGCGCGAGCAGGUGCGAAAGCAGGUCAUAGUGAUCCGGUGGUUCUGAAUGGAAGGGCCAUCGCUCAACGGAUAAAAGGUACUCCGGGGAUAACAGGCUGAUACCGCCCAAGAGUUCAUAUCGACGGCGGUGUUUGGCACCUCGAUGUCGGCUCAUCACAUCCUGGGGCUGAAGUAGGUCCCAAGGGUAUGGCUGUUCGCCAUUUAAAGUGGUACGCGAGCUGGGUUUAGAACGUCGUGAGACAGUUCGGUCCCUAUCUGCCGUGGGCGCUGGAGAACUGAGGGGGGCUGCUCCUAGUACGAGAGGACCGGAGUGGACGCAUCACUGGUGUUCGGGUUGUCAUGCCAAUGGCACUGCCCGGUAGCUAAAUGCGGAAGAGAUAAGUGCUGAAAGCAUCUAAGCACGAAACUUGCCCCGAGAUGAGUUCUCCCUGAGACUUUAGGUCUCCUGAAGGAACGUUGAAGACGACGACGUUGAUAGGCCGGGUGUGUAAGCGCAGCGAUGCGUUGAGCUAACCGGUACUAAUGAACCGUGAGGCUUAACCUUACAACGCCGAAG
rnacentral:rRNA from 1 species